UACAGGGGGGUGCAAACGUUGCUCGGAAUCAUUGGGCGUAAAGCGCACGUAGGCGGUUCGUUAUGUCGGAUGUGAAAGCCCUUGGCUUAACCGAGGAAGUGCAUCCGAAAACUGGCGAGCUAGAGUACUAAAGAGGAUCGCGGAAUUCCCGGUGUAGAGGUGAAAUUCGUAGAUAUCGGGAGGAACACCGGUGGCGAAGGCGGCGAUCUGGGUAGAUACUGACGCUGAGGUGCGAAAAGCGUGGGGGAGCAAACAGG
rnacentral:rRNA from 1 species